GCUGUAGCUCAGUGGUAAAACAUUUGCUUUACAUGCAGAAGGUCCCUGGUUCAAUCUCUACCAGCAUCUCCA